UUUCUUAAAAGGGGCGGGGCUUGAUUUGGGCUUCUAUCAGUGCUGCGUGGAGCGGAGGAGCGACAUCAGCCUGGCUGCUUCUACUUCUCUUCUUCUCCUUCUCCUCACACUCGACCCAAGCGAUCAUGUCCCGUUACGAUCCACAGGGUACAAUCAUGGAUGAAAUGGACUUUGACCGGCGCCGAGAGCUGAGGAGGCAGAAGCGGGAGGAGAUGCGUCUGGAGGCUGAACGUUUGACAAGAAACGAUGACGACGACGAAGAGGCGGCCCGCGAGAGAAGGCGCCGGGCCCGCCAGGAGAGGAUGAGGGCCAGAGAGUUGGAAGAAUCCUCCGGCCAACCUGACAGUCUGGUCGAGACCAACUGCCACAGCAUGACCGAAAGCGUCUCGGCGAGCGGCAGUUUUGGAGGCGGCAGCGGCGAGGAAGAGGACCAAGCGCUGCUGGAACGCGUGGCCAGGCGCGAGGAGCGUCGCCAGCGCCGCCUCAUGGAGGCGCUGGAGCGACAGAGGCAGCCGGACGAGACGGAGGGCCAGGACAGCGGGGAGAAGAGCCAAAUGGUGCGGGAGGAAGAGGAAGCGGAGCAGAGGUCUUCCUCCUGGCGUCAGGCGAAGAUGCACAGCUACAUGAGAGAGGAGGAGCCAGUGGCCAGAGCGGAAGAAGAGAAGAUUGUGAUGGAGGAGAAGCCAAGGAGAUCUUACUUAAGAGAAGAGGAGUCAACCGAUGAAUCAAUCCAGGCAUGGGAAGGAAGUCAUUCAGUAGUCAGUACAAAUCAGGCAGAAGAUUUCGAGGCACCAGAGGGCGCCUUUAUAGACAUCCGAACUCAUGUGAUACCCAGAUAUGACAAUCAAGCGGACAAUGAGCUGUGUGAGAGAGGCCAGAGCAGGGAGGAGCAGAGGAAGCAGAACGGCGGCCUGCAUGAUGAUGAGGAGGAGGAGGAGGAGGAGGAGCAGGAAGAGCAGGAGAACGAAGAGGAAGAGGAAGAAGCCACUGCGAAACAGUACAGGGAACCUGAGAGGACAUUCGGCAGUCGAGGCGGCGCACCCUACCCUGAUGAUGACGACGAGCAGGGCGACCAGGACGCCUCCGCCGCCGCCCGCCUGGAGGCGGAGCUCAAGCUGGAGGAGCUGAAGCGCCGCCGCGAAGACACAGAGAGCGAGGAGUUUGAGCGCAUGCGGCAGAAGCAACAGGAGUCCGAGGCCCAGCUGGAGGACCUCAAGAGGAAGAGGGAGGAGAGAAGGAAGGUGCUGGAGGAGGAGGAGAGGCAGAGGAAGCAGGAUGAGGCUGAGCGGAAAGCCAGAGAGGAGGAGGAAAAAAGGAAGAUGAAGGAGGAGAUCGAAAGGAGGAGGGCGGAGGCGGCCGAGAAGAGGCAAAAGGUGGAGGAUCCGGUGGACGACGAAGAAAAACUCUUCAAGUGCGUCAGCCCUCGCGGCUCCUCUCUCAAGAUCGGAGAGCGUGCCGAGUUUCUCAACAAGUCAGCACAGAAAAGCACGGUCAAGACGUCCCUUUCACCCGUGGUGUCCAAGAUCGACAACCGACUGGAGCAGUACACCUCGGCCGCGCAGCGUGAGAACAAGGAGUCGCGAUCCCCUCGCUCGGGCACCGUGGAUCUCCCGACGGUGACCGACAGCAUCCGUAACAUCAAGAGCAUGUGGGAGAAAGGCAGCGUGUUCAACUCGCCGGGAAGCACCGGCAGCACCUUUAAGGAAGCAAGCUUGAUCAACCCGGGCGUGGCGGGCCGCAUCAACGACUGGCUGAAUAAAGCCCCCGAGAGCGGCAAGACGUCGGGAGCAAGGCCAUCGGACCUGAAGCCCGUCGACGUGACCAAUAAGAGGAGUUUAUGGGAGAACAAAGGCUCCUCUGCGGCCAAGAGCUCUUCGUAGCUAGUCGAUAUACUCGUGACAAUCUGGAAAAAGCCUGCAGAGGCGCCAGGAAGAGGCGAGACCAAGUCAGUCACCAACGGUAUGGGCUACUAACGUCCUGAAGGAGCCUUUUUUUUUUUUUUAAAGCCAGGGCCACGACAAUUCAAGACUUUGGCUUGAUGACCAAAAAAAAAAAAAAAAAAAAUGACCACAAUCCCAAAGAAAGGGAACCCAAGAAAAAGACAAACGUCUCAGCAUUAUACACAAACAUCACUCUGUUUUUUUUUUAUUUGUUUUUUGUACGGUGGCCUUUGCACGUUUCUAUUUGCUUUGUAAAAGAAACCAAAUGCUGUGAAAAUUGAGAUAUUACGACGACGAAAAGUUCCAAAAAUAAUUGCGGUGAAGUUGAUUGAGUAGAUUCAUGACAUGUUUUCCCAGGGUGACAACCCCUCAUCAAGUUCCAUUCCAUUUCUUUUUAAUUUAUAUUUCAAGCCGAAAGCUUGACACACAUCAUUAUUUUAUUCCAACCACUUGGGGGAUAGAAAUGUAAGCACUUGUAGAAUUUAGCUCAAGUCACAUUUAUUAUGUAUGACAAUAGCACAGCGACGCUCCGGGUAAUGUAUGUUAACACGUAUACGGUCAUCUUAUCUAACAUCCUUAUACUCACAAGAAAAUUUUGCUUUUUUUUUUCUAUUUUGUAUUCAUGAACAUUCCACCAACAGGCAGUGUUGAUUAUACAAAAGGCCAUUAUGACUUUUUAUUAUCCUCUUAUUUAUGUUUUGUGUAGCUUCAGACAUUCCUCUUUAAAGCAGGUGCACGUGAUGCCUUCAAACUUUUUUAUAUAUAUAUAUAUAUAUAUAUAUAUAAAUGUAGCGGGGAAAAGGCAAAGCAGCCAUUUUACCUUUGACUUAAAAAAAUUACAAACAUUAUUGCUUUUAUGCACGCUCUAGUAGAAAUCAGGGUGCCUCCGCUAGUCCAAGGACGAGCCACUAUGUACUUUAUCAGGCCUUAUGAUUGCAAUGAGAAGCUUAACGACCGCCGAGGCAGCGUACACAAACGCCUCACAGGAAGGAAGUGUUUACGUUAGGAAGAUUUGGAAGGAGGAUUUCUCAGUCUUCAGUCGACUCCAUUGAUUUUUUUUUUUUUUUUUUUUGGUUUUGUUCCUGCUCCAAUGUCAGACAAUCACAUUCCACGGCCUCGGGAGAGAGCGGGAGAGGCUCGACCAAAACAUUUUCCGUUUUAUGAAUGUUUCAAUGCAUUUUUUUUUUUUUUUUUUACUUUUUGUCAAUGUUUCUUUUUUAUUUCCAUGUUUAACCAGAAACUUUGUGUCAGCGACGCUACACACAUUGUCAUAUGUUAGUCUCUGUGAAGAACAUUCCCAAUGCCAGGCACACUUCCAAGUGGCUGCAUGUUUUCAAAGCAUUGUACCACUGUCGCAACAACAGGAAUAAAGGCAUUGAGAUUUCACAA